rnacentral:rRNA from 1 species
UACGUAGGGUGCAAGCGUUAAUCGGAAUUACUGGGCGUAAAGCGUGCGCAGGCGGUUUUGUAAGUCUGUCGUGAAAGCCCCGGGCUCAACCUGGGAAUUGCGAUGGAGACUGCAAGGCUUGAAUCUGGCAGAGGGGGGUAGAAUUCCACGUGUAGCAGUGAAAUGCGUAGAGAUGUGGAGGAACACCGAUGGCGAAGGCAGCCCCCUGGGUCAAGAUUGACGCUCGUGCGCGAAAGCGUGGGGAGCAAACAGG